AUAGCGGCGGCGCGCCUGCUACGGCAAGCCGGAGGGACGGGCGCCCGCGCCGCAGCUGCGCGCUGGCGGCCGGCGUGACGUCAGCGGGCGCGAGGCAUCGAGACGGCCUGGCGGGCUAGAGAGGCCGGGCGAGGGCGAGGGCGUGGGCCGACGGGCCGGCGGCGGACCGAGCCCUGGAGCACAGCCGCCCAGCCGCCCGUCGCGAUCGGAGUGACUUCUCCGCCGGGAGUCUACGGUCUGGGAGACCGAGGACAGAGCUAGGCGGCUGUGACCAGGAUGGAGGCCAGGAGCUGGAGAGGGCCAGCUGGACAGAGACAAGGCCUUCCUCCCGCCCAGGGGGCCUCAGUGCUGGGCCGCCUGUCCGGCUCCCGCUGCACACAGCCGAGGCCCGUCCUGGGGUAUCGAGGCCGCGUCCUGGGAAGAACCCCUACUGUCCUACUGCCUGCUGGCUCUCUACCCCAGAGCCGCCGAAGCACGUCCCGUACGCACACUGGCAAAAGGAAAAGAAAGAACCGAAAAAGGGGAAGGAGUGACAAAGCAAAGCUUGUAUCUAUUUAAUAAGAAAAUCAUUUCUUUAAAAAAAUAGUGUCUUUCCAC